rnacentral:rRNA from 2 species
GGGAUUGCCUCAGUAACGGCGAGUGAAGCGGCAAAAGCUCAAAUUUGAAAUCUGGCACCCUUGGUGUCCGAGUUGUACUUUGGAGAGGCAUCUUCUGAAGGGACCCAGCCUAUGUGCCUUGGAACAGGACGUCAUAGAGGGUGAGAAUCCCGUCCUUGGCUGGAUGUUCCCUUCUGUAUGUAGUGUCUACUACGAGUCGAGUUGUUUGGGAAUGCACCUCAAAAUGGGUGGUAAAUUUCAUCUAAAGCUAAAUACAGGCGAGAGACCGAUAGCGCACAAGUAGAGUGAUCGAAAGAUGAAAAGCACUUUGAAAAUAGAGUCAAACAGUACGUGAAAUUGUUGAAAGUGAAGCGCUUGAGAUCAGAGUCAACCUUUGGCAAACAACUGUCCUUCUGGGUGGUGCACUUGCCAUUGGCUGGGCCAGCAUCGGUUGGAACGGCAGGAUAAAGGUUAUGGGAAUGUGACUCCCUUGUGGAGUGUUAUAGCCCAUAGCGACAUGCUGUCAGUUCCGACUGUGGACCGCGCUUCGGCUUGGAUGCUGGCUUAAUGGUCUUCAGCGGCCCGUCUUGAAACACGGACCAAGGAGUCUAACGUCUAUGCAAGUGUUUGGGCUUUAAACCCUUACGCGUAAUGAAAGUAAACGUAGGUGGAAUCCUGCAAGGGAUGCACCAUCGACCGAUCCUGAUGUCUUCGGAUGGAUUUGAGUAGGAGCAUAGCUGUUGGGACCCGAAAGAUGGUGAACUAUGCCUGAAUAGGGUGAAGCCAGAGGAAACUCUGGUGGAGGCUCGCAGCGGUUCUGACGUGCAAAUCGAUCGUCAAAUUUGGGUAUAGGGGCGAAAGACUAAUCGAACCAUCUAG